UGGGGAAUAUUGGACAAUGGGCGAAAGCCUGAUCCAGCCAUGCCGCGUGUGUGAAGAAGGCCUUUUGGUUGUAAAGCACUUUAAGUAGGGAGGAAAAGCUGAUGGUUAAUACCCAUUAGCCCUGACGUUACCUACAGAAUAAGCACCGGCUAACUCUGUGCCAGCAGCCGCGGUAAUACAGAGGGUGCAAGCGUUAAUCGGAAUUACUGGGCGUAAAGCGAGCGUAGGUGGUUCAUUAAGUCAGAUGUGAAAUCCCCGGGCUUAACCUGGGAACUGCAUCUGAUACUGGUGAACUAGAGUAGGUGAGAGGGAAGUAGAAUUCCAGGUGUAGCGGUGAAAUGCGUAGAGAUCUGGAGGAAUACCGAUGGCGAAGGCAGCUUCCUGGCAUCAUACUGACACUGAGGUUCGAAAGCGUGGGUAGCAAACA
rnacentral:rRNA from 1 species